rnacentral:rRNA from 1 species
CCCAAGUGCCACUCUUAACGGGGUGGCUUUUCAGAAGUGUAAAAAGCUUCUGGAAUAAGGGCUGGGCAAGACCGGUGCCAGCCGCCGCGGUAACACCGGCAGCUCAAGUGGUAGCCGCUUUUAUUGGGCCUAAAGCGUCCGUAGCCGGUCUGAUAAGUCGCUGGUGAUUAGAUAC